rnacentral:lncRNA from 10 species
GAAAGCCCCAUCUCCCUCUCAGUCUCACAUCUGAUUCCAGUGCUCAGCCUCCCCCACACACUCCCUGGAAAACAUCUUUAACUUAGGCCUGGAGCAGUCCCAUCGCCUCAGGCCUUAGAAACACAAGUCCCUGCGGCAGGCGUGUGAAUGCGGGAGUGUGUGCUUGCGAGUGUGUGCUUGUGUGUGUUUGUGAGUGUAUAUGUGUGCUUGUGUGUGCGCUUGUGUCUGAGUGCAUGUGUGUGAGCGUGCUUGUGUAUGUGUGUGCUUGUGUGUCUGCUUGUAUUUUGUGUGUGAGUGUGUUUGUGUAGGUGUGCUUGUGUGUGUGUGUGCUUGUGUGCGUGCUUGUGUGUUUUUGUGUGUGCAUGUGUGUGUGCUUGUGUGAGUGCUUGUGCGUGUGUGUGUGUGCAGGGUGCAGGGAGGGGCAGCAGAGGGUGGGAACUUCGCAAUGUUCUGCCUUCUCCUCACUGUCUCCCUGAACUCAUGCACUCACACGGCCAGGCUGCCAACAGACCUUGGGCGCCUCCAGAUUUUUCUGGCCCCAGAGGACUGCUCUGAUUCCAGCUUACCUCAAGCCAGAGCCUCAGCUAUUGAAGCAAUAAUUCUAGGUGCAGCCUUGGACCUGAAACUGGGCGGGCACCUAGAGGCUACUCAAGGACCAUGAACCGUGCCCUCCGGGGGUUGGUGAGACAAACCCGAGGUGAUCAUUCACCCCACCAGCUUCCCCAUCACCUGACCGGAGGCUGAAGGGGCUUCGCGAGAACAAGCUGAACUACAGAGGCAGAGCAGGUGCUGAGGCUGGUGCUAAAUGCUACGCGUGAAAUCAUGUCUAGCAUGAUCUAAGUAGCCAUGGUAUUAUAACUCCCAUUUUUAUCAUUAAGAAAAUUAGGGCUGGGUGUGGAGACUCAAGCCUAUAAUCCAGCACUUUGGGAGGCCGAGGUGAAAGGAUCGCUUGAGCUCAGGAGUUCGAGGCCAGCCUGGGCAACAUGGUGAGAUCUCAACUCUACUAAAAUUAAAACGAAAAAAAUAUUAGCCGGGUGUGGUGGGGCUCACCUGUGGUAACAGCUACUCAGAGGCUGGGUUGGGAGGAUUGCUUGAGCCUGGGAGUUUGAGGCUGCCGUGAGCUGUGACUGUGCCACUGCACUCCAGCUUGGGUGACAGAGCAAGACCCCAUCUCAAAAAAAAAAAAAAAAAUUAAAAAAGAAGAAAAGGAGAAAGGGUUGGAGGUGGGUCGUCUGGCUGAUCUGGCAGUGCCUUUGUCUUCACAGAGAUUCAGGCUCCUUCAGCUUCUGCUCCACUAUCCUUAGACCACAGCUUCCAACUUCAAACUUGCCUCAAGGCCCAAGAUGGAUGCUAGAACUCUAGCUAUCACAUCUUCAAAUCCAGUAGAAACGGAGUUUCACCAGGUUACCCAGACGCCUUGAACUCCUGAGCUCAAGCAAUCUGCCUGCCGUGGCCUCCCCAAAUGCUGAGAUUACAGGAGUGAGCCACCAUGCCUGGCCAAAGCUGUUAUUUUUUAAAAAUCUCUGUGUGUCUAAGAAGACACAGGGCCUCCCUGAGAACAGGGAGCGUGUGUUUGCUUUAAGUCUACAAUCACAAAGAAAGUCACCAGAGUUGUUUCUGCCAGAACCAGAGAGAUUUUGCCUCGAGGACAACUCAGUGCAAUGGGCCUGCAGCCUCCAGCAACAGGAGUGGCUGCUUUGGCCAGGUGGCAGAACAGCCCUCCUAGACAAAGCAGAGACGUCUGUAACAAAGACCAGCACCCAGUGGGCAUCCAAUCUGUAUCUGAUGAAAGAAGGAAUGAGGAAAUAAAUGAACGGCUGAUUGUAAUCACUUUCCAGGAUAGUGAGAAUGCCUGGGACAGAACCCUGGUUCCAUCUCCCACUUAGAGGAGCCCUUUUCAUUAACAGCUCCACUUAACUUCUAUUUGCCAUGCAAAUCAACUGGCCCAGGUGAGUGGUGCCUGCACUGACUCCUGAAAUCCCAAGGGCCUCCGCGGCUCCCCGAGGCUCAAUCAGGGCACGAAGACACAUGUGCAGACACUUUGCCUUUGCUAAUCCUGCGGGCCUUUCACAGAGAGCAGGAAAUCAAUGACUCAAAUAUUCCUUUUGCCUCAGGCAACUGCUUAAAUGAGACUUUACCCUCUGCUGCCAAGGAAGUUGGGUGGCAGGGGAGUUCCUUCAGACUCCCCCCCAGUUGAUCCUGGAUAGAACUGGCCUAGGUUUAUAUGCCAUUGUUUGUUUUACUAACGGUAAACCACUGCGAGUCCGGCCACUGAAAAUCAGCUGACAGCAGGAGCAAAGAUUCGCUCGGCUCACUGGGGAGCACGGAAUGUCUGCCAUCUCUGAGAUGUUUCCAGAAUAGAGGGAGCCUUGUGCAAGCCGCAGAAUGGCUUGGCCUCCCCAGUGGUUUGCUGUUGGGUCCGAGGAUCCGGAGCUGCCCUGCAGGCAGCCAACGCCUGGGCCAAGCACCAGUACCCUGGGGCCCCCAAGUGAGGGCUGUCUGUGGGGAGCUUGUCUCCUCUGGUUUGUCCACAACCCAGUGACCCCAGGGUAGGGGUGGGAGUGGGGGGCAAUGCCCAGGAACAACUUGGCACAUGGGGAGGUGAGAGGGAGGGCUGGUUUUGGAAGCCGCUUUAGAAUCUUGGCUUAGAAAUGCAGAAUGCAUGACCCUGGGGAAGUGUCCUGCCCUGUCAGGGGCUCGCAGGCCUCAUCUGUGUGCUGGCCCCUUAAGGGUCAUGAGUAGGUGACAUACAGAUAGGGGGCACCUGCACUGUGCAUGGUGGGUGCUGUAAAUCAAAAAUAACAUCCUAAGCCCUCCAACUGACUGAGGGGACCCCCGAGAAACCUGAGAAACUGAAUUCCCAGCCAUGGCUGGAAAAGAGGUCUGACACACCUUGUUAUACCCCCUACCUUUUGGAAUUCAGGUGUAACUGACCAGCAUUCACAUUAAAACAGAGAUUGUAAUGUUACCAGACAGGGGUCCUCAUCCAGACUCCAAGAGGGUGUUCUUGGACAUCACGCAAAAAAUAAUUCGGGGCAAGUGCAUAAAGUGAAAGCAAGUUUAAGAAAGUAAAGGAAGGCCGGGCGUAGUGGCUCACACCUGUAACCCCAGUACUUUGGGAGGCCAACGUGGGAGGAUUGCUUGAGCUCAGGAGUUGGAGACCAGCCUGAGUGAGACCCUAUCCCUACAAAAAAAAUACAAAAAUUAGCCAGGCAUGGUGGUGCAUGUCCCAGCUACUCAGGAGGCUGAGGUGGGAGGAUCGCUUGAGCUGGGGAGGUUGAAGCUGCAGUGAGCCGAGACUGCACCACUGCUCCAGCCUGGACAACACAGAGAGACCCAGUCUCAAAAAAAAAAAAAAAAAAAAAAGAAAGAAAGAAAAGAAAAGAAAGAAAAGAAA